AUAAGCCCUCGCGCGUCGCCCUUAAAUACGUCACAUCCGGGGAGAUAGUUCACUUGAGCAGGCGGCAGACGCAUCGAGAGACUGAAGAAAUGUGCGUAACGUCCAACAUCAAGAUGUCGAGUUAUGAACACCUGGCUGGGGGGAGGGGAUCCACGAACCAGCGUGGAGACCACGUGCCACGAAGGGAGCAGCCUGCAGGACAGCAGACAUGAAGCCCUGCCUGGUUCAGACCACCUGACUUGACAUCUGGUGCUCAUGUAUGACUGAGCUGAAAGGGAGCGGAAGAGUCAGCGCAGCACCCGGAGGCGUUUGGCAGCUUAAGAGUGCAAAAGUUAUUAAAGUGGGUUUUGCAGCUUCCAGUUGGCCUCAAUGAGAAGAGUUUACCAGCAGCUGUGUGGAUCCAAGUUGUGGCUCCUCGUUGAACCGGCCGGCUGAAGAGCGUUCACAAACCCGACCGAACUUUGAAGCAGAUUUCGUCAGUCGGAGAACCAGUUAAUCUGCUGAAGAAAUUGAGUCACAUUUGUACUUGUGUAUGAUUGCAUUAAAGUACAUUUGUUUUACUCUAUAAAAUAAUAAAGGAACCUAUUCUCAAUUGCA